GGGUGGUGGUUGUUGUGGUGUGGGGUGUGUUGCAGGGAUGUAAACAUACUUAUUUGAAGGACUUGAAUGUUCUUAAAGAAUUUCUGAGCGAAGCCUUUUGAUGUAGGAUUCUCACAAUUUGAGCCCUAAUGUUUUCUGAACAUUGGAAGCACUGCUUUGUAUUCAUCAUUAAACAAUCAAAUACAUUGUUCUUAUUUUUUUACAAAUGUUAAAGAGAACCAUCCUCUUGGAGCAUCAGUUUUUUAUUCCAUGACUUGGCCACACACUAUAGUUUUUCCAUUUAAGUAAAUAUUUCCCCUUUUAAUAUUUUUUUUAUUUUUGUAGUCACUUCUAAUGAAGUUGUGUUCUAUGUUUCCACAGGCAGCUAAAAUGCUUGCCGGUAGGAUUGAACAAUAGCCCGAGCUAAAAUACCUG
rnacentral:misc_RNA from 1 species